rnacentral:rRNA from 1 species
UGCUAAGGUAGCACAAUAAAUUGCCUUUUAAUUAAAGGAUAGAAUGAAAGGACUAACGUCUUAAUAAUUUUAUCAUUUAUAUCUAAUAAAAUUUACCUAAAUGUAAAAAGGCAUUUAUAAAACAAAAAGACAAAAAGACCCUACCGAACUUAAUUUUCUUAAUUAGACUGGGGUGGUCCAUAAUUAAAACUUAAACUAAAACCAAAAUAAAGACCUUAUAUAAUAAAUCAUAAGAACAAGUUACCGUAGGGAUAACAGCGUUACAGAUUUAUAAAGAUCUUAUAAAAAAUUCUCCCUGCGACCUCGAUGUUGAAUUAAAAUAACUUUCCUGAGUAACAACAGAAAAAGUAGGUCUGUUCGACCUUUAAAAUUUUACAUGAUCUG